rnacentral:misc_RNA from 1 species
CGCUACUACCGAUUGAAUGGCUCGGUGAGGCCUUCGGACUGGCCCAGGGAGGUCGGCAACGACCACCCAGGGCCGGAAAGUUGGUCAAACCCGGUCAUUUAGAGGAAGUAAAAGUCGUAACAAGGUCUCCGUAGGUGAACCUGCGGAGGGAUCAUUACAAGAACGCCCGGGCUUCGGCCUGGUUAUUCAUAACCCUUUGUUGUCCGACUCUGUUGCCUCCGGGGCGACCCUGCCUUCGGGCGGGGGCUCCGGGUGGACACUUCAAACUCUUGCGUAACUUUGCAGUCUGAGUAAACUUAAUUAAUAAAUUAAAACUUUUAACAACGGAUCUCUUGGUUCUGGCAUCGAUGAAGAACGCAGCGAAAUGCGAUAAGUAAUGUGAAUUGCAGAAUUCAGUGAAUCAUCGAAUCUUUGAACGCACAUUGCGCCCCCUGGUAUUCCGGGGGGCAUGCCUGUUCGAGCGUCAUUUCAACCCUCAAGCCCAGCUUGGUGUUGGGACUUGCGUUAAUUCGCAUUCCCCAAAUUGAUUGGCGGUCACGUCGAGCUUCCAUAGCGUAGUAAUUUACACAUCGUUACUGGUAAUCGUCGCGGCCACGCCGUUAAACCCCAACUUCUGAAUGUUGACCUCGGAUCAGGUAGGAAU